rnacentral:rRNA from 1 species
CGGGUGCGUAACGCGUGGGAAUCUACCUUAUAGUGGGGGAUAGCCCGGAGAAAUCCGGAUUAAUACCGCAUAAUCUCUACGGAGCAAAGUGGGGGAUCUUCGGACCUCACGCUAUUAGAUGAGCCCGCGUUAGAUUAGCUUGUUGGUGAGGUAAUGGCUCACCAAGGCUACGAUCUAUAGCUGGUUUGAGAGGAUGAUCAGCCACACUGGGACUGAGACACGGCCCAG